UACAGAGGUCCCGAGCGUUGUUCGGAUUCACUGGGCGUAAAGGGUGCGUAGGUGGCUUGAAAAGUUUGAUGUGAAAGCUCAGGGCUUAACCCUGAAAUGGCAUUGAAUAAUGUCGAGCUGGAGGUUUGGAGGGGGGACUGGAAUUCUUGGUGUAGCAGUGAAAUGCGUAGAUAUCGUAAGGAAGGCCGGUGGCGAAAGCGAGCCUCUGGACAGUUACUGACGCUGAUGCACGAAGGCCAGGGGAGCAAACGGG
rnacentral:rRNA from 1 species